rnacentral:rRNA from 1 species
AGCGAACGCUGGCGGCGUACUUAACACAUGCAAGUCGAACGAGGAUCAGUCGGGUUAGCAAUAAUUCGGUGGUCCUAGUGGCGCACGGGUGAGUAACACGUGGGUGACCUGCCCUUGAGCUCGGGAUACCCCCUCGAAAGGGGGCUAAUACCGGAUACGUUCCUCGGUCGAAAGACUGGAGGAGGAAAGGUGGCGCAAGCUGCCGCUCUUGGAGGGGCUCGCGGCCUAUCAGCUAGUUGGCGGGGUAACGGCCCACCAAGGCUAUGACGGGUAGCUGGUCUGAGAGGACGGACCAGCCACACGGGG